UACAGAGGUCCCAAGCGUUGUUCGGAUUCAUUGGGCGUAAAGGGUGCGUAGGCGGCGCGGUAAGUCGGGUGUGAAAUCUCGGGGCUUAACUCCGAAACUGCAUUCGAUACUGCCGUGCUUGAGGACUGGAGAGGAGACUGGAAUUUACGGUGUAGCGGUGAAAUGCGUAGAUAUUCGCAAGAACACCAGUGGCGAAGGCGGCUCACUGGCCCGAUACUGACGCUGAGGCACGAAAGCGUGGGGAGCAAACAGG
rnacentral:rRNA from 1 species